GCGUCUAUAGCUCAGUUGGUUAGAGCACCACCUUGACAUGGUGGGGGUCGGUGGUUCAAGUCCACUUAGACGCACCA
rnacentral:tRNA from 1 species